rnacentral:rRNA from 1 species
GACGAACGCUGGCGGCGUGCUUAACACAUGCAAGUCGAACGGUGAAGCACCUUCCUUUUUCGUUGGUGUGGAUGAGUGGCGAACGGGGUAGUAACACGUUAGGAACCUGCCUCCUUCUUCUGGAUAACCGCAUGAAAGUGUCGCUAAUACGGGAUAUUCUGGGUCUGUCGCAUGAUGGGUCUGGGAAAGAUAUUGUUUCGGUAGGGGAUGGGCUCGCGGCCUAUCAGCUUGUUGGUGGGUGGAUGGCCUACCAAGGCGGUGACGGGUGGCCGGCAUGGGAGGGUGGGCGGCCAUAGUGGGACUGAAACGUGGCGAAGACUCCUACGGGAGGCAGCAGUGAAGAAUAGUGAACGAGGGGAGGAAGGAUGAUGCAGCGACGCCGCGGGAGGGAUGGAGGCCGUCGGGUUGUGAACCUCUUUCGCCAGUGAAGCAGACCUGCUUCGUUUGUGGGUGGGUUGACGGUAGCUGGAGAAGAAGCGCCGGCUAACUACGUG